rnacentral:rRNA from 1 species
UACAGAGGGUGCAAGCGUUGUUCGGAAUUAUUGGGCGUAAAGCGCGUGUAGGCGGCGACUGCAAGUCGGGUGUGAAAUCCCUCAGCUUAACUGAGGAAGUGCGCCCGAAACUGCAGCGCUUGAGUGCCGGAGAGGGUGGCGGAAUUCCCCAAGUAGAGGUGAAAUUCGUAGAUAUGGGGAGGAACACCGGUGGCGAAGGCGGCCACCUGGACGGUUACUGACGCUGAGACGCGAAAGCGUGGGGAGCAAACAGG